CAAUAGCGUAUAUUAAAGUUGUUGCAGUUAAAAAGCUCGUAGUUGAAUUUCGGGUCCCCGCGCUCGGCGCUUCAUUGCGCCGUCGUGGUGUCCCUCCUCGCCGUAAGGCGUCCUUUACUGUGAAAAAAUUAGAGUGUUCAAAGCAGGCAAUCGCUUGAAUACAUUAGCAUGGAAUAAUAAGAUAGGAUCUUGUCUAUUUUGUUGGUUGCGGACAACGAUAAUGAUUAAUAGGGAUAGUUGGGGGUGUCCGUAUUGAGCUGUCAGAGGUGAAAUUCUUGGAUUUGCUCAAGACGAACUACUGCGAAAGCAUUCACCAAGGAUGUUUUCAUUAA
rnacentral:rRNA from 1 species